rnacentral:rRNA from 1 species
AAAAUCAAUUAUUACUUAACUUAUACAUGCAAGUUUCCGCCCCCCUGUGAAAACGCCCUUUAACCCCCACCCACGGGACGAGGAGCUGGUAUCAGGCACGAAAAUCUGCCCAUAACACCUAGCUUUGCCACACCCACAAGGGACUUCAGCAGUGAUUAACAUUGAUUAUGAGCGAAAGCUCGAUUCAGUCAAAGUAAAUAGAGCCGGCUAAUCUGGUGCCAGCCGCCGCGGUUACACCACGUGACUCAAAUUGAUUUUUAUCGGCGUAAAGCGUGAUUAAAGUAACUUAUAAUUAAGAUUAAACUAAAACUAAGCCGUGACACGCUUGUUAACUAAGAAACUCAAGAACGAAAGUCAUCUCAAUUAAAUCACUUGAAUUCACGACAGCUGAGAA